CCUACGGGCGGCAGCAGUGAGGAAUAUUGGUCAAUGGACGAGAGUCUGAACCAGCCAAGUAGCGUGAAGGAUGACUGCCCUAUGGGUUGUAAACUUCUUUUAUAUGGGAAUAAAACGUUCCACGUGUGGGAUUUUGUAUGUACCAUAUGAAUAAGGAUCGGCUAACUCCGUGCCAGCAGCCGCAGUAAUACGGAGGAUCCGAGCGUUAUCCGGAUUUAUUGGGUUUAAAGGGAGCGUAGGUGGAUUGUUAAGUCAGUUGUGAAAGUUUGCGGCUCAACCGUAAAAUUGCAGUUGAAACUGGCAGUCUUGAGUACAGUAGAGGUGGGCGGAAUUCGUGGUGUAGCGGUGAAAUGCUUAGAUAUCACGAAGAACUCCGAUUGCGAAGGCAGUUCACUGGACUGCAACUGACACUGAGGCUCGAAAGUGUGGGUAUCAAACAGGAUUAGAUACCCCUGUAGUC
rnacentral:rRNA from 1 species